AGCCCCUAGCGCAGACGGCGGAGAGCAGAGAGGGAGCGCGCCUUGGCUCGCUGGCCUUGGCGGCGGCUCCUCAGGAGAGCUGGGGCGCCCACGAGAGGAUCCCUCACCCGGGUCUCUCCUCAGGGAUGACAUCAUCCGUCCACCUCCUUGUCUUCAAGGACCACCUCCUCUCCAUGCUGAGCUGCUGCCAAGGGGCCUGCUGCCCAUCUACACCUCACGAGGGCACUAGGAGCACGGUUUCCUGGAUCCCACCAACAUACAAAGCAGCCACUCACUGACCCCCAGGACCAGGAUGGCAAAGGAUGAAGAGGACCGGAACUGACCAGCCAGCUGUCCCUCUUACCUAAAGACUUAAACCAAUGCCCUAGUGAGGGGGCAUUGGGCAUUAAGCCCUGACCUUUGCUAUGCUCAUACUUUGACUCUAUGAGUACUUUCCUAUAAGUCUUUGCUUGUGUUCACCUGCUAGCAAACUGGAGUGUUUCCCUCCCCAAGGGGGUGUCAGUCUUUGUCGACUGACUCUGUCAUCACCCUUAUGAUGUCCUGAAUGGAAGGAUCCCUUUGGGAAAUUCUCAGGAGGGGGACCUGGGCCAAGGGCUUGGCCAGCAUCCUGCUGGCAACUCCAAGGCCCUGGGUGGGCUUCUGGAAUGAGCAUGCUACUGAAUCACCAAAGGCACGCCCGACCUCUCUGAAGAUCUUCCUAUCCUUUUCUGGGGGAAUGGGGUCGAUGAGAGCAACCUCCUAGGGUUGUUGUGAGAAUUAAAUGAGAUAAAAGAGGCCUCAGGCAGGAUCUGGCAUAGAGGAGGUGAUCAGCAAAUGUUUGUUGAAAAGGUUUGACAGGUCAGUCCCUUCCCACCCCUCUUGCUUGUCUUACUUGUCUUAUUUAUUCUCCAACAGCACUCCAGGCAGCCCUUGUCCACGGGCUCUCCUUGCAUCAGGACGAAUAAUUUAUGGUCAGUGAAAAUCCAGGCCCCAGUGAGAUUCGAGUGGGCUGUAAAAUCGAGAGUCCUGCUCCCACAGGUUCCCAGUGCCCCCGACAAGCCCCUGCUGGUGUCUCCAUCUCCUGCCAAGCAUCCUCCAGUGCCUCCUCCUGUGGGCCUGGCCUCAGGGCUAUGGACAGACUCCUGUCCCAUCCCAGAGACCCCUCGUGAUCGUGCCCUGGCACGUGGGCCGUGGCCCGGCUGGGUCGGCUGAAGAACUGCGGAUGGAAGCUGCGGAAGAGGCCCUGAUGGGGCCCACCAUCCCGGACCCAAGUCUUCUUCCUGGCGGGCCUCUCGUCUCCUUCCUGGUUUGGGCGGAAGCCAUCACCUGGAUGCCUACGUGGGAAGGGACCUCGAAUGUGGGACCCCAGCCCCUCUCCAGCUCGAAAUCCCUCCACAGCCACGGGGACACCCUGCACCUAUUCCCACGGGACAGGCUGGACCCAGAGACUCUGGACCCGGGGCCUCCCCUUGAGUAGAGACCCGCCCUCUGACUGAUGGACGCCGCUGACCUGGGGUCAGACCCGUGGGCUGGACCCCUGCCCACCCCGCAGGAACCCUGAGGCCUAGGGGAGCUGUUGAGCCUUCAGUGUCUGCAUGUGGGAAGUGGGCUCCUUCACCUACCUCACAGGGCUGUUGUGAGGGGCGCUGUGAUGCGGUUCCAAAGCACAGGGCUUGGCGCACCCCACUGUGCUCUCAAUAAAUGUGUUUCCUGUCUUAACAAAAAAAAAAAAAAA
rnacentral:lncRNA from 1 species